rnacentral:rRNA from 1 species
AGUGGCGAACGGGUGAGGAACACGUAAGAAACCUGCCUUGAAGACGAGGAUAACUGUUGGAAACGAUAGCUAAUACUGGAUAGGAUAUUUAGUCGCAUGACUUUAUAUUUAAAGAUGCCUUAAAGCAUCACUUCGAGAUGGUCUUGCGCAGCAUUAGCUAGUUGGUAGGGUAACGGCCUACCAAGGCGACGAUGCUUAGCUGGUCUGAGAGGAUGAACAGCCACACUGGGACUGAGACACGGCCCAGACUCC